rnacentral:rRNA from 1 species
UUCGGGAGCUUGCACAGGUGCUGCAUGGCUAUCGUCAGCUCGUGUCGUGAGAUGUUCGGUUAAGUCCGCUAACGAGCGCAACCCUCGCUGUGUGUUAUAUGUGUCACACGGGACUGCCGGUCUUAAGCCGGAGGAAGGUGGGGAUGAUGUCAAGUCAGCAUGGCCUUUAUAUCCUGGGCUACACACACGCUACAAUGGCCAACACAAUAGGUUGCUAAGCCGCGAGGUGGCGCCAAUCCAUAAAGUUGGUCUCAGUUCAGAUUGUAGGCUGCAACCCGCCUGCAUGAAGAUGGAGUUGCUAGUAACCGCAGGUCAGCUAUACUGCGGUGAAUACGUUCCCGGGGCUU